rnacentral:rRNA from 1 species
CGUCUGGUAAUUGGAAUGAGUACAAUUUAAAUCCCUUAACGAGGAUCAAUUGGAGGGCAAGUCUGGUGCCAGCAGCCGCGGUAAUUCCAGCUCCAAUAGCGUAUAUUAAAGUUGCUGCAGUUAAAAAGCUCGUAGUUGAAUUUCUGGUACGAUGUGCCUGGUCCACGGUCGCAAGGCCGCGCGUAUCGGAGUACGUCUGCCAUCCUUCUAGUUAACUGGCUAUACUUAACUGUGUGGUCAGCAACCUAGAUCUUUUACUUUGAAAAAAUUAGAGUGUUUAAAGCAGGCUCGCGCUGUGAAUACAUUAGCAUGGAAUAAUAAUUUAGGACUUUGCUUCUAUUCUAUUGGUUUCUAGGGGUAAAGUAAUGAUUGAUAGGGAUAGUUGGGGGUGCUAGUAUUCAUCGGCCAGAGGUGAAAUUCUUGGAUUCGAUGAAGACUAACUUAUGCGAAAGCAUUCACCAAGGAUGUCUUCUUUAAUCAAGAACGAAAGUUGGGGGAUCGAAGACGAUCAGAUACCGUCGUAGUCUCAACCAUAAACUAUGCCGACCAAGGAUCCGGGGUUGUUAAUAUGGAUGACUCUCCGGGCACUUAUAGAGAAAUCAUAAGUAUUUGGGCUCCGGGGGGAGUAUGGUCGCAAGGCUGAAACUUAAAGGAAUUGACGGAAGGGCACCACAAGGAGUGGAACCUGCGGUUUAAUUUGACCCAACACGGGGAAACUUACCAGGUCCAGACACAGUGAGGAUUGACAGAUUGAGAGUUCUUUCUUGAUUCUGUGAGUGGUGGUGCAUGGCCGUUUCUAGUUGGUGGAGUGAUUUGUCUGGUUAAUUCCGUUAACGAACGAGACCUUAACCUAUUAAAUAGUUGUUUGAACUUGAUUUUUUAAAUCAAAUGUUCAAUUAACUUCUUAGAGGGACUCUUCACUGAGAGAUAGAAUGGAAGUUUGAGGCAAAAACAGGUCUGUGAUGCCCUUAGAUGUUCUGGGCCACACGCGCGUUACACUGACAUAUUCAACGAGCAUUAUCCUUGCCCGUCGGGGUUGGGUAAUCUUUUAAAUGUAUGUCGUGCUGGGGAUAGAUCAUUGUAAUUAUUGGUCUUGAACGAGGAAUUCCUAGUAAGUGCGAGUCAUCAACUCGCGCUGAUUACGUCCCUGCCCUUUGUACACACCGCCCGUCGCUCCUACCGAUUGAAUGGUCCGGCGAGAACUCAGGAUGGAUAUGGAUUUUGGACCCGUUAGGUGUUCCAACCAUAUCCAGAAUUUGUUCAAACCUUACCA